UACACCAAUAUAUAUAGAGACUUAUCUUUAGCUUAGUUUUGUUUCUGUUAGUGAAUUUCAUGGCUUUCUAUUUUCAGCUCCACUAUUACUACUACAUAUACGUGUUUUGCUUAAUGCCUAAAUAAUCUCAUUUAUAAGAGUCCUUAUUCGUUGAAGUUUUACCUUUGCAGAGUCGGUAAUGGUGGGACAAAAAAUGGAUAUCACUGUAUCGUGUGGACAACCUGCUAAGAGCCCAUGACUAAUUCUAAGAAACACUCAUACUUCAUCGCAGUUUUACAGCAAAUGAAGACCAAUAAUUCACAUUUUCUAUUAAGGGACACAUAAAAAUUACAGGUAUUUAAGGGUCAUCUAAGAAUUUAUGAAUCGGGAUGAAGAACGAAGUAGAGGAAGAACGUAGAGAAUCAGUUGAGCAAAUUCAAAAGAAGAUGAUGGAGAUCCUUAUGAUGAACUGUAGAAUAUUUUUAUUUUUUUCUCAACCAGACUAUAAAAAUA